CCUAUUUUACAGAAAGGGAAACCAAGGACUGGGGAGGCAAAAUUACCUGCUUAGGAUCACAGAGCCGACAAGGGGAAAAGAGGAUGGUUCCUUUUUUAGGAGCCUCCCAGGCUUGAAAAAGCAGAGCAAAAUCCUACUCACUAAAGGCAAAGACCACAGCUGAUCCUGUCGCAACCCCAGGAGCUUCCUGAACCCCUAAACACCUUAUAAGAAAUGGAGAAGAAGAGAGAAAGACUACACCUGGGGUCAGUAAGCUACAGCCUGCAGGUCAAACCCAGCCAUCUGUUUGUGCAGAUAAAAAGUUUUACUGGAACACGGCCAUAUCCGCUGAUUUAUGUAGUGUCUACAGCCGCUUUGGUGCCAGAACUGCAGAGCUGAGUAGUUGCAACAGACACUAUGGCCCACAAUGUCUAUGUCAGUUACUAUCCGGCCCUUUACAGGAAAGCUUUGCCAGCCCCUGGAUCCCAUGUUAGACUGCCUU